rnacentral:rRNA from 1 species
GAUGAACGCUGGCGGCGUGCCUAAUACAUGCAAGUCGAGCGAACAGACGAGGAGCUUGCUUCUCUGACGUUAGCGGCGGACGGGUGAGUAACACGUGGGUAACCUACCUAUAAGACUGGGAUAACUUCGGGAAACCGGAGCUAAUACCGGAUAAUAUAUUGAAUCGCAUGGUUCAAUAGUGAAAGACGGUUUUGCUGUCACUUAUAGAUGGAUCCGCGCCGCAUUAGCUAGUUGGUAAGGUAACGGCUUACCAAGGCAACGAUGCGUAGCCGACCUGAGAGGGUGAUCGGCCACACUGGAACUGAGACACGGUCCAGACUCCUACGGGAGGCAGCAGUAGGGAAUCUUCCGCAAUGGGCGAAAGCCUGACGGAGCAACGCCGCGUGAGUGAUGAAGGUCUUCGGAUCGUAAAACUCUGUUAUUAGGGAAGAACAAAUGUGUAAGUAACUAUGCACGUCUUGACGGUACCUAAUCAGAAAGCCACGGCUAACUACGUGCCAGCAGCCGCGGUAAUACGUAGGUGGCAAGCGUUAUCCGGAAUUAUUGGGCGUAAAGCGCGCGUAGGCGGUUUUUUAAGUCUGAUGUGAAAGCCCACGGCUCAACCGUGGAGGGUCAUUGGAAACUGGAAAACUUGAGUGCAGAAGAGGAAAGUGGAAUUCCAUGUGUAGCGGUGAAAUGCGCAGAGAUAUGGAGGAACACCAGUGGCGAAGGCGACUUUCUGGUCUGUAACUGACGCUGAUGUGCGAAAGCGUGGGGAUCAAACAGGAUUAGAUACCCUGGUAGUCCACGCCGUAAACGAUGAGUGCUAAGUGUUAGGGGGUUUCCGCCCCUUAGUGCUGCAGCUAACGCAUUAAGCACUCCGCCUGGGGAGUACGACCGCAAGGUUGAAACUCAAAGGAAUUGACAGGGACCCGCACAAGCGGUGGAGCAUGUGGUUUAAUUCGAAGCAACGCGAAGAACCUUACCAAAUCUUGACAUCCUCUGACCCCUCUAGAGAUAGAGUUUUCCCCUUCGGGGGACAGAGUGACAGGUGGUGCAUGGUUGUCGUCAGCUCGUGUCGUGAGAUGUUGGGUUAAGUCCCGCAACGAGCGCAACCCUUAAGCUUAGUUGCCAUCAUUAAGUUGGGCACUCUAAGUUGACUGCCGGUGACAAACCGGAGGAAGGUGGGGAUGACGUCAAAUCAUCAUGCCCCUUAUGAUUUGGGCUACACACGUGCUACAAUGGACAAUACAAAGGGCAGCGAAACCGCGAGGUCAAGCAAAUCCCAUAAAGUUGUUCUCAGUUCGGAUUGUAGUCUGCAACUCGACUAUAUGAAGCUGGAAUCGCUAGUAAUCGUAGAUCAGCAUGCUACGGUGAAUACGUUCCCGGGUCU